AUUGAACGCUGGCGGCAGGCCUAACACAUGCAAGUCGAGCGGCAGCGGGACCUGCGGGUUGCCGGCGAGCGGCGGACGGGUGAGUAAUGCCUAGGAAUCUGCCUGGUAGUGGGGGAUAACGCGGGGAAACUCGCGCUAAUACCGCAUACGUCCUACGGGAGAAAGCGGGGGCUGUUCGGACCUUGCGCUAACAGAAGAGCCUCGGUCGGAUUAGCUGGUUGGUGGGGUAAUGGCCCACCCAGGCGACGAUCCGUAACUGGGCUGAGAGGAUGAUCAGUCACACUGGAACUGAGACACGGUCCAGACUCCUACGGGAGGCAGCAGUGGGGAAUAUUGGACAAUGGGCGAAAGCCUGAUCCAGCCAUGCCGCGUGUGUGAAGAAGGUCUUCGGAUUGUAAAGCACUUUAAGUCGGGAGGAAGGGCUGCAGGUUAAUACCUUGCAGCCUUGACGUUACCGACAGAAUAAGCACCGGCUAACUUCGUGCCAGCCGCCGCAGUAA
rnacentral:rRNA from 1 species